rnacentral:lncRNA from 1 species
UUACGAAGGCAACAAAAUUAUAUUCAUUCAAAUAAUAGCACUUGUUCACAACACAAUUACAGAUUUCCAACAAUCUAGUAUGAUUUCAAAAAACAAAGCUUAAUAUCAAAACAUCACAAGCAUAACUAGAACGCACUAUAAGCAUUUAAAAAAAUCAAGUAAACUGACUAAAAUGCACUACUGGCUGAUUUUAAUCUCCAACACUACACCACCACUUCCAGGUAGCUAUUCAGGCCCAAGUAAUUCCUGGUAAAAAACUUCAAUCUCCAAUGACAUGGACCAACUGCCAAACCUGUAAACAAUUCAACACAUAAAAAAUUAUAGUAAGUUAUAACAACUAACUCCCAAAUGAAUAGAGAGUAAUAAUAUUAGUUGAUUUUCCAAGCAAUCUAGACAUAACCACACCUGGGAAUUGUGAAGGAUAGUAAUAUAUGUUGGAAGAAAAAAAAGCAUGCAUUCUCCAAUUACAAUAAAGCAUAGCCUUCAUGGCAUACAAGGUAGAUAAUUAUCACUGCCCACACUUCAGAAUGAGAUGGGAUAUGGAAUUGAGAGAGAGCAAAUCUUUAAAUUUUAUACAUGUCAUUUCCUAAGUAUACCCUUUAUAAUAAAAUGAAUAUAAGGGAAAGUUUUAUAAAAAGGGUACAAGAUAAUGAACCAACAAAAUUAAUAUCAUGUUAACAAUGUAACCAUUAGUUAAUGAUAUGCAACAAAUAUUAACAUGAUUUUCUUGAUGGAUGUAAAGAGCCCUCACAUGAAAAUGUAUUAAGUAAAUAAUUCAAGGGAGUAUACCUAGAUGUCAUUUUUUUUCUUUAGUACAUCAUAUUUUAGUUUAACUUAGCACACCAUUGAUUAAUCAUUCUUUCCAGCAGGCUUUGACUAAUGACAUGGUGUGAAUAAUACCAAGAAAUAGAGAAUAUGCUAGUAAUAACACUGAAAUUUUGGGAUUGAACAAAUGCACUAUGUAACAGAUCAAACACUCCUAAAUCAGAAGCAAAAAUACCAUCUAUUAUUAAUGUUAAAGAAAAGCGCUCAAUCUUCACUUCCAUCGCUCCUUUAGAUUGCAAUUCUAUGUACACG